rnacentral:rRNA from 1 species
UACAGGGGGGGCAAGCGUUGUUCGGAAUUACUGGGCGUAAAGGGUUCGUAGGUGGCCACCUAAGUCAGACGUGAAAUCCCUCAGCUUAACUGGGGAACUGCGUCUGAUACUGGGUGGCUUGAGUGCAGGAGAGGAAUGCGGAAUUCCCGGUGUAGUGGUGGAAUGCGUAGAUAUCGGGAGGAACACCAGUGGCGCAGGCGGCGUCCUGGACCGGCACUGACGCUGAGGAGCGAAAGCGUGGGGAGCGAUCCGG